GCUACGGGUGCAUCCACGACAAGCAGGAAGUCAGCUUGGGGCUUACAUUGGUGGCAGAAUUGCAACAGGUUUUGUCCUACCUGGUUAACCUGGAGAGCUAGCUUGAACAGGACUAUGCUCGCUUGCUCCAAAGUGUAACGCCACCUGUCUCUGACAUGAUGAGGCUUAUGGACUGUUUACCACUGUGAGCGUUGAGUUUCGUCCCUCCUCCCCAGCAACUAAGCCUGUCAUCAGGAGACCCGGGCACUGUACCAUCUACUUCCCAACCAGCCUCAGAGAUAAGAGACCUUAUUGACUGGGGAGUAUGUCCCAAACAUUCUCUCCACCGGCCCUACAGGGAUGUUGGGCAGCGGCACAGGGAGAGGAGAUUGUUGGUCCCUCAUUCCAGCAGCAGCAAGCAUCCCUUGGAGUGGAG